rnacentral:rRNA from 1 species
GAACGGAGAGAUUCAUCGUUAUUCCGCGGCGCGUCCCGCGUACCACCGAUAUCGUCACCCUCGGGUGGCGGCACGGCGCUCGUGGUGACGCUCCCCGUGGACGGCGUGCACUUCUCUCUUAGUAAGACAUCGCGACCCGUUCGAUGUUGGUCUCGUGCCCUGUCCGGGUGCCCUGCGGCACUCGUGCCGUAGGACCGGGCGGCGGCCGGCCUACUGUCGGACGGUAUGAUGACUUGAUCCGCGCACGCGCUGUGCGCGUCCGGCACGACGCAAGGCGCCGCCGUGUCGGGGUCCUGCCGCGAGGCGGUCCUCGAUGCGGUGGUGUCUGUUGUCGCAGCCGUUUGUCUCGGACUGUGCGCGUCUCGGUCUGCGAUGAUUCAGUUUCGGGCACUCGCAGGACCCGUCUUGAAACACGGACCAAGGAGUCUAGCAUGUGUGCGAGUCAUUAAGAUUUGAAAACUGAAAGGCGCAACGAAAGUGAAGGCGUGCGCUCGUCGCGCGCUCAGGGAGGAUGGGGUGCGAUCUCGGUCGCUCUCUCGCACUCC